rnacentral:rRNA from 1 species
UUACCUGGUCUUGACAUCCCGGGAAUCUUCUGAAAGGAGAGAGUGCCUCGCAAGAGGAGCCUGGAGACAGGUGCUGCAUGGCUGUCGUCAGCUCGUGUCGUGAGAUGUUGGUUAAGUCCCGCAACGAGCGCAACCCCUAUCUUUAGUUGCCAUCAUUGAGUUGGGCACUCUAAAGAGACUGCCGGUGUCAAACCGGAGGAAGGUGGGGAUGACGUCAAGUCCUCAUGGCCUUUAUGACCAGGGCUACACACGUACUACAAUGGCCGGUACAAAGGGCAGCGACACAGCGAUGUGAAGCCAAUCCCGAAAAGCCGGUCUCAGUCCGGAUUGGAGUCUGCAACUCGACUCCAUGAAGUUGGAAUCGCCUAGUAAUCGCGGAUCAGCACGCCGCGGUGAAUACGUUCCCGGGCCUU